UGAGACACUCUAACCCUUCAGAAUAGAUAA
rnacentral:piRNA from 1 species